rnacentral:rRNA from 1 species
UACGUAGGGUGCGAGCGUUAAUCGGAAUUACUGGGCGUAAAGGGUGCGCAGGCGGUUAUAUAAGACAGAUGUGAAAUCCCCGGGCUCAACCUGGGAACUGCGUUUGUGACUGUAUGACUAGAGUACGGUAGAGAGGGGUGGAAUUCCUGGUGUAGCAGUGAAAUGCGUAGAUAUCAGGAGGAACAUCGAUGGCGAAGGCAGAUCUCUGGGCCGUAACUGACGCUGAGGAGCGGAAAAGCAUGGGGGAGCGAACAGG